rnacentral:sRNA from 1 species
UAAGAGUCGGAAGAACAUGCCAUUGCAAU